rnacentral:lncRNA from 1 species
AAUUACAUGAGUCUGGAAGAUAAAUUAUAAAAAAUACCCUAUCGCAUCCCAUAUGCGAUUAGCUUGUAAGGCAUCAUUCUUUCAAAAGGACUUCUUUGUGCCCAUCAAAUGCCACGCCAAAAUAUUAAUGCCACCCCACUCUUUUUAGCGUGUGAAGAUGAAGAGUCUUUCUUCAUGAAGACUCUUAUCUUAACACGUUGCCUUAAAUGCUCAACC